rnacentral:misc_RNA from 1 species
UCCGAGUUGACCCCGGCAGUCUCUCACGAGUCCCCGCCGUAACGCGCUGGCAACAUGAGACAAGGGUUGCGCUCGUUGCGGGACUUAACCCAACAUCUCACGACGCGAGCUGACGACAGCCAUGCAGCACCUGUGUUCCGAUUCCCUUUCGGGCACACCUGGAUCUCUCCAGGCUCUCGGACAUGUCAAGGGUAGGUAAGGUUUUUCGCGUUGCAUCGAAUUAAUCCACAUAAUCCACCGCUUGUGCGGGUCCCCGUCAAUUCCUUUGAGUUUCAGUCUUGCGACCGUACUCCC